GCAGGGCGGCGCACACCAGGCCGUGCUUAGUUGUUGAUUGCACCCAAGGUCUAAUCAGCGGCCAUGGGUAAGCAGCAGCACCGAACAGGUAGAGGGCAGGAGGAGGAAAAGAGGAAUAACAGCCACACCUACUAGGUCAGCGCGACAAUGAGGAAGCAGGCCUUUAUGUGUGAUCCUGCAUGUGUGCUAUACUGUUAAUAGGCUACAAAGUGUAUAGCUGCAAAUUGCUGUGUCACUUCCAGCACAGAAAGACUGAGGCGAAGAAAGAACUGAUCUUCUCCAGAUGCGCUUUGCUGAACAACUUAAACUUCCAAAGAGCAAUGCAGGUUCAUCAGGGAUGCAGACCAUCAGAACAAGUAAAGUACCUGUUACGGCCCUGGGCCUUGGAGAAAGUGAGACCGCCUUUUCCCUUCAAGCAAAGCCAAGAGUGCCAGGACUCUCUGACGAUUGGCUAGCUGGAGACUCAUGCCAGCCCCUGUGCAUGCAGAUUGCACUAUGGCAACCUACAUAGACGAUUGGCUGCCUGGGGAUCCUGUGGCACUCCGUGAAGCAAUCAGUGGCUGAUCGUGCUCACCUGCCGCUACAAAACACUGGAAAACCUUCACUCGGGGCAUCUGUUUUGGAGAGUGUGCAAUUUGCCCUUCCUGCCUCCCUCUGUGAACUGUGCUCGCUCAACUCUAUUCAAAGUGGUGAACUUUGUGGGUUAACCCCGGUGUAUGGUUGAGCUUAGCCUGUUUAGACUUGUCAUUUGUUAUUCUCACCUGUGUUUGCCUUAUGUGUUAAUUGGUUGCCCAGUGGCGUGUUGAACACAGCCCUGUCAGUUUUCUGUUUAAAGUUUGCAAUAAACCUUUUUUUUUUUUAAA